AUUGAACGCUGGCGGCAUGCUUUACACAUGCAAGUCGAACGGCAGCACGGGCUUCGGCCUGGUGGCGAGUGGCGAACGGGUGAGUAAUGCAUCGGAACGUACCGUGUAAUGGGGGGAUAACGUAGCGAAAGUUACGCUAAUACCGCAUACGCCCUGAGGGGGAAAGCGGGGGAUCGUAAGACCUCGCGUUAUACGAGCGGCCGAUGUCGGAUUAGCUAGUUGGUGGGGUAAAGGCCUACCAAGGCGACGAUCCGUAGCGGGUCUGAGAGGAUGAUCCGCCACACUGGGACUGAGACACGGCCCAGACUCCUACGGGAGGCAGCAGUGGGGAAUUUUGGACAAUGGGGGCAACCUUGAUCCAGCCACGCCGCGUGAGUGAAGAAGGCCUCGG
rnacentral:rRNA from 1 species